UACGUAGGGUGCAAGCGUUGUCCGGAAUUAUUGGGCGUAAAGGGCUCGUAGGCGGUCCAUCGCGUCGGGAGUGAAAAGCUGGGGCUUAACCCCAGUCCUGCUUCCGAUACGGGUGGACUAGAGGUAGGUAGGGGAGAACGGAAUUCCUGGUGUAGCGGUGAAAUGCGCAGAUAUCAGGAGGAACACCAAUAGCGAAGGCAGCUCGCUGGGACGGUACUGACGCUAAGGCGCGAAAGCGUGAGGAGCGAACAGA
rnacentral:rRNA from 1 species